rnacentral:sRNA from 1 species
AGCGGUCGGGUCCGGGCGCCCGCGCAGAAUCAGCUGUCUGAACUGCCCAGGCGGCGGGGAGCAGUGAGCGGGCUUCAGCGAGCCGCAGGAGGCACAGGCCUGUCCUGGGUCCCCGCAGGUCAGUGUGAAGGCGUGCGCUGCCGGCGGACCCUGGGACAGGGGUGGAGGGGGCUGGCAGUAGGAUUGGGGAGGGGGCGGAGAAGGGAUCCGGUAGAUUGGGGAGGAGGGGGAUGCGGAGUCGCGGGGGCGGGGGCAGUGGAGGGAGAACCCCCGAAGCAAGCCUGGCUCGCCUUCUCGACGCCCCCUUGCACUGAGUCCUCCAUCCAUUUUAGUGCUGGAAAUGGGGGGUGGGGGUAGCGACCCCGCAGUGCGACAGUGAAACGUAGACAUAUUCUGGAAAUAACCCCUUCUCACAAUCUACACCCAUGGAAACACUUGAUCUCCGCAAAAAUGAGGUGGCGCUGGGGCAGGUUGCCUCCGGGGAAGGGGGACACAGAGACAAACGCAGUUUGGAAAGCAUCCUGGUUUGGUGCCGGAGGCCUGGAAAGAAAUGGCGGCUGGGGUACGGGGGAGGUAGGGGAGGAAAACGGUGGGUAAGCAGGGCCUGGACUCAGGAAAGGGAACCGAGUCCCUGUGAGCCCGCUAAGCGCGCAGCCCCUGCCCCUGUCUCCUGUCUGUCCGCAGGUCUGCGCGUCUGUUGUUCCCAGCGCUCUGAGAGGCCUGAAAAGGAGGAGCAACCUGUCCAGAAUCCCCGCAGGAAAGGAAAAGGAGGGGAAAUCUCGACAUGGAAAAACUCUUCAAUGAAAAUGAAGGAAUGCCUUCGAAUCAAGGAAAGAUAGACAAUGAAGAACAGC